rnacentral:misc_RNA from 1 species
AACUUUUAACAACGGAUCUCUUGGUUCUGGCAUCGAUGAAGAACGCAGCGAAAUGCAAUAAGUAAUGUGAAUUGCAGAAUUCAGUGAAUCAUCGAAUCUUUGAACGCACAUUGCGCCCGCCAGUAUUCUGGCGGGCAUGCCUGUCCGAGCGUCAUUUCAACCCUCGAACCCCUCCGGGGGUACGGCGUUGGGGAUCGGCCCUUUACGGGGCCGGCCCCGAAAUACAGUGGCGGUCUCGCCGCAGCCUCUCCUGCGCAGUAGUUUGCACACUCGCAUCGGGAGCGCGGCGCGUCCACGUCCGUAAAACACCCAACUUUCUGAAAUGUUGACCUCGGAUCAGGUAGGAAUACCCGCUGAACUUAAGCAUAUCAAUAAGCGGAGGCU